GACGAACGCUGGCGGCGUGCUUAACACAUGCAAGUCGAACGGAAAGGCCCUGCUUUUGUGGGGUGCUCGAGUGGCGAACGGGUGAGUAACACGUGAGUAACCUGCCCUUGACUUUGGGAUAACUUCAGGAAACUGGGGCUAAUACCGGAUAGGAGCUCCUGCUGCAUGGUGGGGGUUGGAAAGUUUCGGCGGUUGGGGAUGGACUCGCGGCUUAUCAGCUUGUUGGUGGGGUAGUGGCUUACCAAGGCUUUGACGGGUAGCCGGCCUGAGAGGGUGACCGGCCACAUUGGGACUGAGAUACGGCCCAGCCUCCUCCGGGAGGCAGCAGUGGGGAAUAGUGCACAAUGGGCGGAAGCCUGAUGCAGCAACGCCGCGUGCGGGAUGACGGCCUUCGGGUUGUAAACCGCUUUCGCCUGUGACGAAGCGUGAGUGACGGUAAUGGGUAAAGAAGCACCGGCUAACUACGUG
rnacentral:rRNA from 1 species